GAGCUAUUGCGCAUGCUCGUUCCCGCCCUUGACCGACCGGAUGACACGGACGACUAGCACUUGCUCCAUAUUUAUCGUAUAGCAUCCUUCAAUUUACGAGAAAUACAUCAGAAAAGUAGCUGUCCCCCUGCUCAGAUUUUUGUCUGCUGAUACCUUUAGCCUCACAUGUGACCUGACCUCUAUGUGGCAGUGCAGACAUUGUGUAACCAGAGAGAUUAGCAGAACACAGACACCGAGGUCAGCGCCUGCAAGGCACAAACUGUGCUGGGAGUCUACGCAAUGAAAAGGGAAGGCGCGGAGCCUGGAGACGAACUAGAGGACGUUGGCAUCCUCAUCGAGGGAGAGGAGGUGAUCAGCGAUCUUGGCAACAUCGGGAUGGCCUUCGUGCUUUUAUUUGGACUGAUUUACUGCCUUAACUUAACCUACCCAGCAGACCUCAAGUGUACAUUCAAAGUGGUACAGAAAAUUCUUCUCAAUCUG
ensembl:lncRNA